CCAUGCGGGAAUCGAACCCAUGACCUUCUUGCUGUGAGGCAGCAGUGCAAGCACCUGAGCCACCGUGCCACAUCUCUGCAUUGGGUGGCUAUGAACUCAACCCUGAGGAGCCCCUUCUACAAGACACCUACAAGAGGAGGAUGGAUCUUAAUCUGAGCUCAGGUCUCUCUCAGAUAAACUUUAAAAGCUAGGAAAAACUCCUUCCUUGCAUUCAGUGAACAAACAAUGAAACUAUCUAUCGAGUGUGGAGGUGUGCAUCAUUGAAAGUGUCCCACCUUCAAACAUAAGAAAACACAUUAAUAUAAAUAUAUGAUUUUGUGGCUGUGAUUUUGUGUACAACCUUAUUGUUAAACCUACAGGGCAUGUAUAUAUUUGACAUUGAAAAACAGUAAUAUUAAAGAAUGUAUAUUUUCAUACAAGAAAUUCUCUUUUACAUCGAUGUAUUACACUUAUUUACGCCACAUUAACUUCUCUGGUUAUAUUUGACUAAUGAAUUAAUAAAGUGUUCUAACAUUCAUUCACCAAAA